rnacentral:rRNA from 1 species
GACGUCAGAUAGCAUGCAUGUCUAGUAUAAGGAUACAUACUGGACUGCGCAAGGGCUCUUCACACUUAUAUUUUUUUUGAAUUUAAUUUUACUGGAUGGAUAACCGUUUCUUUCUAGGGAUAUGCUUGCGUUAUGACUUACUGGCGGAACCCCUUUAUUUAUUACAUUCCAACCUUCCUCCGAAGGUCUGUUAUGAUGAUUCUGAUGAUGAUCCAUUGCUGGUGACCGGCAAUAAAUCAUUCAUGUUUCUGCUUCCCAUCUUUUGAUGGUAGUGUAUUGGACUACCAUGGCAUUCACGGGCUAUCGGGAUUUAGGGUUCGAUUCCGGAGGGGCCCUGAACCGGCUACCACUUCUACAAACCCCGGCCAAAUUUAUCCUCCCUGAUUCGGGAUAAGGAAAAAAUAAUGACCGGAAUUUAUCCUGGGGCUUGUGGGCUUGAUUUGCAAACUCCUUUCCGAGGAACUUUUGGAGGGCAACUCUGGUCCCCCCGUGCCCCCCCCCCCC